rnacentral:rRNA from 1 species
AACGAACGCUGGCGGCGUGCCUAACACAUGCAAGUCGAGCGGGCUGUAGCAAUACAGUCAGCGGCGCACGGGUGAGUAACACGUAGGUAAUUUGCCUUCGAGAUGGGGAUAACCUGCCGAAAGGCGGGCUAAUACCCGAUAUGACCACGUCUACUUCAGUAGAUGGGGUAAAAGAUGGCCUCUAUUUAUAAGCCCUCACUUGAAGAUAAGCCUGCGGCCCAUCAGCUAGUUGGUAGGGUAAUGGCCUACCAAGGCUAAGACGGGUAGCUGGUCUGAGAGGACGACCAGUCACACUGGAACUGAGACACGGUCCAGACUCCUACGGGAGGCAGCAGUGGGGAAUAUUGCGCAAUGGACGAAAGUCUGACGCAGCAACGCCGCGUGGGUGAUGAAGGCUUUCGGGUCGUAAAGCCCUGUCAGCGGGGAAGAAAAACCGGGAUUCGAAUAGGUUCUCGGCUUGACGGUACCCGCGGAGGAAGCACCGGCUAACUCCGUGCCAGCCGCCGCAGUAAUAC